rnacentral:rRNA from 1 species
UGGAGAAUAUUGGACAAUGGGCGCAAGCCUGAUCCAGCCAUGCCGCGUGGAUGAUGAAGGCCUUAGGGUUGUAAAAUCCUUUCGUUGGGGACGAUAAUGACGGUACCCAAAGAAGAAGCUCCGGCUAACUUCGUGCCAGCAGCCGCGGUAAUACGAAGGGGGCUAGCGUUGUUCGGAUUUACUGGGCGUAAAGCGCGUGUAGGCGGACUUGUAAGUUGGGGGUGAAAUCCCGAGGCUCAACCUCGGAACUGCCUCCAAAACUACAAAUCUGGACCUAAGUAGAGGCAAGUGGAAUUGCGAGUGUAGAGGUGAAAUUCGUAGAUAUUCGCAGGAACACCAGUGGCGAAGGCGACUUGCUGGACUUGUAGUGACGCUGAGACGCGAAAGCGUGGGGAGCAAACAGGAUUAGAUACCCGUGUAGUCCCUGAGCGGGCUGGCAAGGCGCAU